AUGGACUGGAGCUGGAGAAUCCUCUACCUGGUGGCAGUGGCGACAGGUGUGCACUCCCAGGUUUUGCUGGUGCAGUCUGGGGCUGAAGUGAGGAAGCCUGGGGCAUCAGUGAAGAUCUUCUGCAAAGCAUCUGGAUACAGCUUCACUGAUUACUAUAUGCACUGGGUGCGACAGGCUCCUGCACAAGGGUUUGAGUGGAUGGGAAGAAUUGACCCUGAAGAUGGUGCUACAAGCUAUGCACAGAA